GACGAACGCUGGCGGCGUGCCUAAUACAUGCAAGUGGGACGCAAGGAAACACACUGUGCUUGCACACCGUGUUUUCUUGAGUCGCGAACGGGUGAGUAACGCGUAGGUAACCUGCCUAUUAGCUGGGGAUAACUAUUGGAAACGAUAGCUAAUACCGCAUAAUAUUAAUUAUUGCAUGAUAAUUGAUUGAAAGAUGCAAGCGCAUCACUAGUAGAUGGACCUGCGUUGUAUUAGCUAGUUGGUAAGGUAAGAGCUUACCAAGGCGACGAUACAUAGCCGACCGGAGAGGGUGAUCGGCCACACUGGGACUGAGACACGGCCCAGACUCCUACGGGAGGCAGCAGUAGGGAAUCUUCGGCAAUAGACGAAAGUCUGACCGAGCAACGCCGCGUGAGUGAAGAAGGUUUUCGGAUCGUAAAGCUCUGUUGUAAGUCAAGAACGUGUGUGAGAGUGGAAAGUUCACACAGUGACGGUAGCUUACCAGAAAGGGACGGCUAACUACGUG
rnacentral:rRNA from 1 species